AUUUUUGUUUAUAGCUAUAUAUUUCUAUAUUUGUAAAUGAACUAAGCCUUAUUUUAACUUCAUUAUGUAACAACACGCCACUGAUUAAUUCACACAUUUAGUUUUCUGUGAUCAGAAAUUUGCUCAUCCGUCAUUCAAUAUUCUUCAAUUGUCAUUUUCUAAGCCAAGCAAGAUUUGUUAUACAUCAAAAAAAAAAAAUUAAUUAAAAAUGAUUGGUACAGGAAGAACUCUCCUCCAAAGAACUGUUCUAAGGAACAUCAGAAAAUACCACGCAGAAGAUAGGACUCCUGGAGCUAGUCUACCAUGGCCUGUUGGAGCUUCAGUGAAAACAACUUUGGCUUUCAUCUUAUUUUUUGCUCCACCUUUCUGGGCUCCAUUCUUAAUUACAAGGCAUCAAAUGGCUAAAAAAUAAAUAUGUUUCUAUAUUAUAUCAUAUGUAGUUAAUAAUAAAGUAAAAACUUAAUAGAUGUA